UAGUCCGCACGAGCGCACCCUUACCCUUAUUUGCCAGCAAUUCGGUCGGGAACUAUAAGGGAACUGCCGGUGAUAAACCGGAGGAAGGGGAGGACGACGUCAAGUCAUCAUGGCCCUUACGUGUAGGGCUACACACGUGCUACAAUGGGGAGUACAGAUGGACGCUAAAGCGCGAGCUGGUGCUAAUCUCAUAAAACUCUUCGUAGUCCGGAUUGCAGUCUGCAACUCGACUGCAUGAAGUCGGAAUCGCUAGUAAUCGCGAAUCAGCAUGUCGCGGUGAAUACGUUCUCGGGUCUU
rnacentral:rRNA from 1 species